rnacentral:rRNA from 1 species
GACAGAGGGUGCGAACGUUGUUCGGAAUUACUGGGCGUAAAGCGCAUGUAGGCGGCAGCGCAAGUCGGGCGUGAAAUCCCACGGCUCAACCGUGGAAGUGCACUCGAAACUGCGCAGCUAGAGUCCUGGAGAGGAAGGUGGAAUGCUUGGUGUAGAGGUGAAAUUCGUAGAUAUCAAGCGGAACACCGGUGGCGAAGGCGGCCUUCUGGACAGUGACUGACGCUGAGAGUGCGAAAAGCGGUGGGGAGCCAAACAGGGAUUAAGAA